GAACACCAAACAUCCAAACAGAACUAUUGCAUUCAAUUCCAUAUCAAAACAAAUCCAAAAAAUCUCAAAUAAAUUACACCUAAACAGGGUCUAUUCAAGGUAUGGCACACCAAAUUUCAGCUUAAUUGGGCAAAGGAAACCAUGUCAAUGAAAAUCAACAAAAACAGACACAAUUACAUGCUCCAAAUCACAACAUCAAC
rnacentral:lncRNA from 1 species